GCGGCGGCGGCUGUGGCUGCUCCCGGCGGGAUCAGGUGGGGAAGAAAUGACCACCCCAAACAAGACCCCACCUGGUGCUGAUCCAAAGCAGUUGGAGAGGACUGGUACUGUUAGAGAAAUAGGCUCACAAGCAGUUUGGUCUCUCUCAUCCUGUAAGCCAGGGUUUGGAGUGGAUCAGUUACGAGAUGAUAAUCUAGAAACUUACUGGCAGUCAGAUGGAUCACAGCCUCAUUUGGUGAACAUCCAAUUUAGAAGAAAAACAACAGUGAAGACCUUAUGUAUUUAUGCAGACUACAAAUCUGAUGAAAGUUACACUCCAAGCAAGAUCUCUGUCAGAGUAGGAAAUAAUUUUCAUAAUCUCCAGGAAAUCCGGGAUGGAUGUGCAACUUUUACAUGUCAGAACUUGGUCUGAUUGAGCAGCAAGAUCCAUCAUGAAGAACAUGGUACUCCUCCAGCUAAAGUCUGACUGCUGUUCUUCUGACCUCUCAGAUGAGUGAGAAACUCCCAUGUCCUGGGACCUGACAUCACUUCAACUGCAAGUCCUGCUGAAAAAUAGUCUACAUCACUUCCCUGUCAUCACUUCCCUCUGCAGUCUCCAGGAGAAAUCCAAGACCUUCCCAGGAGUGAUGGACAAGAAGCAAGCCCAGACAAUCCAAAUGAUGUGCUUAGGGCAGCAGAGCCCAUGAAGAAGCCCUACAAAGGUGCUCAGAGCAAUGCUAGGGGCUUCAAAUGAAUUCCACCAAUACAGGGAUCAGUAGAUCCUUUAGAGAAACAAAAGGGCAUCUUUUUAGGAGGGAAACAUGACUUUUUGUUGUACAAUGCAAUCACUUCUCUUCCUCUGUUUUUGUAUUUAUUGUCUUUCUCUUUAUCUGACUGCCAGUGCUGUAAUGAGUGAAAUAUGUUAGUGAAAUUAAAACCAACCUCCAGGAUUAUUUUUAUGAAGGAAAUAUAUCACUUCAGUUUCUUGGUUAUAUCAGCUUCAGGAUAGUUUUAAGUUGAUUCUUUGGAACAGAUUUGCUAAUUUAUGAAAAUAUAAUGAUUUUAUCGCUGCUAAAUUUCCUCUUGACAUUAAAAAAGAAGACAAAAUUAGCCACCACUAUAUUAUUCCAUCUAUUGGUAUUAUAAAUAUCUUAAUGGGAUAGCUGUCCAAAAUUCUUUUCAGAGGCAUCAAUUUAUAUUACCUUUGAUUCAACCACAGCUGCAUUAUUGGCAUUGCAAUUAUCAUUAUACUAAUUAUUUACUGAGUACAACAUAUGUCUCUAAAAUUCUGAAAAAGUAUUUUUGCUGUUUUUACUGUCACUGGAGUUAAGUAUUUGUUUGUAUUUCAGGUACAGAAAGAAAAUAGCAGAAGUGUCUGUUUUCAGACACUUGAGUGUAAGAGAGAAAAUUUUUACACUUCUUUUUAGGGGGAAAAAAAAGUUUGCCUUUUCUUGGUAUCAUUGCUCUGAGGCUGGAAAACAGAUGAGCAGUUUUUGUUUUCUUCAAAGUGUAUAUAUCCAAAUUCUGGCACUAUACAUGGUUCCUAAGUGAGCACAGAGGACACAUUCCAUGAUGUUUGCACUGUGCAAGUGGAUGCAGUGUUUUACAGAGUGGUUUGUUGAGGUUUUUGUAACUGCUGCCUGUUCUGCACUGCCUGCUGGAAAAUUAUCUGUCCACAGAGUAUUCUCCAUUACUGAUUUCUAGUAUUGAAGUGUGUAACAGGUAAGUAAAACCCGAUACUCUGUCAAGUAGUGACAAUGCUGCCAUUGCCACAGUGAUCUCCCAUCCUUGUGGGUAAGGGACCAUGGACAAUGAUUAUAGGAACUAGACUGCAAAUGUAAAAAUGUUUAAGAACCCUUGUUUUAAAACUAUAAUUUAGGUUAUAGGAGGUUUGGGGUUUUUGUUUUAUUUAUUAUUUUAUGUAAUGUACUCAUUCCACAAAUUCUUUACUCUUUCUAUUUAAGAGCUGGAGUCCUGCUCCUAGGCACAUUCCCUUUCUCCUUCCCUGCAAAGUACAUAAAGCCUCCAUUCUUGCCAGCCUGCAUUAAACACUGCAACACAAUUAUCCUCAGUCACUGGACUGUUAUCUCAGGGAAUUGAAUUAGACUUUCUAGCUUAGAAACAUCAAAUUAUUUACACAAAAUGUUAUAGUUGAAACAGAUCCAGUGUAGACCAUUACAUGAUGAUUUUUUAAAAAGAUCAGGUCACGGAUUUAAAACAGAACUGAAAGUUGUAUCUGAUCCUGAGGGUACCUGUUGGGAGUCAUAUCAAGCAGGUUAGUGCCUGUUCAGAAGCAUGGAAAAUCAGUUUUCCAUUCAGCCUUGUCUCUAAGUUGCAGCUGUAAAAGUUUCCUCAAGAAAGGUUCCUUUGGGACCAAUAACAGUUCUGUGGAAAUUUCACUGUCAGUUUUCCACAAGUACAAGUGAUCAGAACUUUUGGUUAAGAAAUAUGAAACAGCCUUAGGUGUUCAAAACCACCCCUGAUAAGUCCCUUCUGUUUGGAUAUCUUGAACAUAAUGGUUAUCUUCAGGGACAGAAAGGGAAGCAUUCAGCAAAAUACAUAAUCAAAUAAAGUAGGUUUUUUUCUCCUGAAAAGUGGGCAAUAUGUUUCAUUGCUCUCUUUUUCAAUACACACUAAAAACCUCUGAGAUUCUCUCUCAGAAAAGUCUAUCCUAAUUGGCCUCUUGCCCUUACAGCUGAAACAAAAUUAUCAGUUAACAUGUGCUAUGCAUUCCAAAUUGACCUGGUUUGUCACAAUUAUCAGUUAAGAUCCCUCUGUCAAGAGUGUGUCAAUAUAACUUUCAUCCAUGAAGGCUUUUUGAUAGAGUCCUGACUGUUCUAGGCAUAACCUGAUUACAACUUAAAACUUCUUUAUGUAGCUGAAUUUUACUUGCAUUACCACUCUGAAUUGUGACAAGAAAUCAACAUGGAACAACACUUGAAUUCCAGCAUUCCAGAAGUAAAAUAUCUUCCAACAGACUUAAAAGUUUUCCAUUGGUACUUACCCCAUAACUAGAUGUAAUUUCUCACCUCCACCUUCCAACAUAUUCCCAUCAGUGCCCAUUCCCCACUCACUGCCCCAACCACAAAAGCGUUCCCAGUGGACAGGAAGGAAGCUGUUCAUCCCACCAACCCUCAUG